GUUUCAGUAGCUCAGCUGGAUAGAGCAACGGCCUUCUAAGCCGUCGGUCGGGGGUUCGAAUCCCUCCUGGAACG
rnacentral:tRNA from 1 species